UUUAAAUUUAGAGUUUGAUCCUGGCUCAGGACGAACGCUGGCGGCGUGCUUAACACAUGCAAGUCGAGCGAUGAAGUUUCCUUCGGGAAGCGGAUUAGCGGCGGACGGGUGAGUAACACGUGGGUAACCUGCCUCAAAGUGGGGGAUAGCCUUCCGAAAGGAAGAUUAAUACCGCAUAAUAUGAGAGAAUCGCAUGAUUUUCUUAUCAAAGAUUUAUU
rnacentral:rRNA from 1 species